GUCAUUUCUGUCGGCUAUAAGAAAUAUCAAAGGGCGAAUAAAAUGAAAACGGAACCAAUUCACGCUGCUCGUUUGCGCUGUACCGGACCGUUUAAGGUUAGAUAGCGCCGCGCGAGCGUUGAGAGAUCCGGUGAAGAGGGAAUACACAGCAGAAUUAUCAACAUCGCUGCGAGAUCUAAGUUUGUAAUACAGUGUAAACUUUGCAAAUUUGCUCACAGUAGCAGAGAGGUCCUCCUGAAACACUACAGGUUUCACCACUAUCAAGGGCGAUCCUGGCAGCAGCCUUGCCUGUAUACUGACUGCAUCUGCACUUUCAAAACUAUAGGAAAGGGAUGCAUUACAGGAGAAAUUGAAGAAGAAACAUCUCAACAUGGCAUUUGUUGACUCGAAAAUGGAAUUGACAUUCUCAUUGAGAAGGAAGGAGAUAGUUGAAGAAGAACCUCUUGUAGCUGAUGUACUAAGACAAUGGCCAGCAUUGUUUUUUGGAACAUCAGGUAAGUUUUAAAGAGUAACUUGUGAUUUUUUUUUUCCCUGUAAGAUGAAUAGACUUACUGUACACUUGCUGUAUUCUUAUUGUUAAUUCUGAUUUUUUUUUUUUUUUAGAUAUGUGCUGAGUUUUACAGAAUCACACAAACAAACCUUAAGAGUAAAUUUUUCUCUUAUCUGGAUGAAUAUACACCGCGGAUGAUCAAGUUGUUUAGGGUACUCGGCGGAGCAUAUGGAGAUAAUAUUAAGACCCUCCUAGACCAACUUGAUGAUCAGACCUCCGAUGUGCUUGCUCAUAGAAAGGCUACAGCUCUCAAAGGUCUACCUUUGUUUAUGAGGGAAAAGUCUGAACAUUUCCUGAAGACUUGCCUGGACACAGAGCCAGAAGAAAAUCAUACAAAAGGGAAUAAAGAUGGG
ensembl:lncRNA